rnacentral:rRNA from 1 species
GACGAACCGAGCGAACGUUGUUCGGAAUCACUGGGCUUAAAGGGCGCGUAGGCGGCCGCCUAAGUCAGACGUGAAAUCCCUCGGCUCAACCGGGGAACUGCGUCUGAUACUGGAUGGCUUGAAUUCGGGAGAGGGAUGCGGAAUUCCAGGUGUAGCGGUGAAAUGCGUAGAUAUCUGGAGGAACACCGGUGGCGAAGGCGGCAUCCUGGACCGAGAUUGACGCUGAGGCGCGAAAGCCAGGGGAGCAAACGGG